rnacentral:rRNA from 1 species
UACAGAGGUCUCAAGCGUUGUUCGGAUUUACUGGGCGUAAAGGGCGCGUAGGCGGCGUGACAAGUCACUUGUGAAAUCUCCGGGCUUAACCCGGAGCGGUCAAGUGAUACUGUCGUGCUAGAGUGCGGAAGGGGCUACUGGAAUUCUCGGUGUAGCGGUGAAAUGCGUAGAUAUCGAGAGGAACACCUGCGGCGAAGGCGGGUAGCUGGGCCGACACUGACGCUGAUGCGCGAAAGCGUGGGGAGCAAACGGG